GGCCCCGGGGCGGGGGGCGGCGGGAGCGCGUCCCGGGGCCGGAGCGACCCCCGGAGCCUCCGGCAGCGCCCGCUCAGGGAGGAGGAGGCUGCGCGAGGGCGGCGCGGAGCGGGGCUGCAGGAGGCGGCGUGGAACCCAGGCCGGGGAGAAGAAAGCAGAGCCGGGGGAAGGAGCAGCCCGGGAAGGGAGAGCAAGAGCUGCCGCCAGCCCUUCCGCAGAGGACGUGCUGCCGGGCGCGGGCUGUUCUCUCGUGCGCUGCUAAAACGCCGAUGUAAAUCCUGACCUGGCAGCACACGGAGAACAUGCACCAGGAAAGCAGCUCUGUCCAACGCCCAGCGAGCGGCUGAAACGCCUUCUCUCCCAGGGCUGGCAGUAGCUCAACACUUCCUUCCUUCGAUGCUCCUUUCCUCCAGCUCCCUGGGUCUGCUUUCCACACAGCCUCCUGCAGUCUCACCCUCUGCACUACCCUUGUGCAUUCCUCUCUUGCCCAGCAAUGUUUCCAGGCUACAGGCGGCUCCUCAGGAUGUAGCAAAGUCAUAAAGGAGAAGUUCUUCCAGGUAUCCACGUGAAAUUCUAUGGCUGGAUUUCAUAUCCCAAAGGAUCAAGAUCCUGGUCCAGAAGCAUCAGAGAAGAUUCCCU